rnacentral:rRNA from 1 species
AGCGGCGGGACGGGUGAGUAACGCGUGGUGAACGUGCCCUUCUCUACGGAAUAGCCCCGGGAAACUGGGAGUAAUACCGUAUACGCCCUUUGGGGGAAAGAUUUAUCGGAGAAGGAUCGGCCCGCGUUGGAUUAGGUAGUUGGUGGGGUAAUGGCCCUACCAAGCCGACGAUCCAUAGUCUGGUUUGAGAGGAUGAUCAGCCACACUGGGACUGAGACACGGCCCAGACUCCUACGGGAGGCAGCAGUGGGGAAUCUUAGACAAUGGGGGCAACCCUGAUCUAGCCAUGCCGCGUGAGUGAUGAAGGCCUUAGGGUUGUAAAGCUCUUUCAGCUGGGAAGAUAAUGACGGUACCACCACAAGAAGCCCCGGCUAACUCCGUGCCAGCAGCCGCGGUAAUACCGGAGGGGGGCGUAGCCGUGUGUAUCGGCAAUUACUGGGCGUAAAGCGCACGUAGGCGGACUGGUAAAGUCGGAGGUGAAAUCCCAGGGCUCAACCUUGGAACUGCCUUUGAAACUAUCAGUCUGGAGUUCGAGAGAGGUGAGUGGAAUUCCGAGUGUAGAGGUGAAAUUCGUACAUAUUCGGAGGAACACCACUGGCGAACGCGGCUCACUGGCUCGAUACUGACGCUGACGUGCGAAAGCGUGGGGAGCAAACAGGAUUAGAUACCCUGGUAGUCCACGCCGUAAACGAUGAAUGCCACACGUCGGCAAGCAUGCUUGUCGGUGUCACACCUAACGGAUUAAACAUUCCGCCUGGGGAGUACGGUCGCAAGAUGAAAACUCAAAGGAAUUGACGGGGGCCCACACAAGCGGAUGGAGCAUGUGGAUUUAAUUCGUAAGCAACGCGCAGAACCUUACCAACCCAUGACAUGGCAGGACCGCUGGAGACAUUCAGCUUUCUCGUAAGAGACCUGAACACAGGUGCUGCAUGGCUGUCGUCACCUCCUGUCGUCGACAUGUCCGAUUAAGUCCGGCAACGAGCGCAACCCACGUCCCUAGUGGCCAGCAUUCAAUGGGGCACUCCACGGAAACUGACGAUGACCAAGUCGCAGCAAGCUGUGGAAGACGUCAAGUCCUCAUGGCCCUUACGGGUUGGGCUACACACGUGCUACAAUGGUGGUGACAGUGGGUUAAUCCCCAAAAGCCAUCUCAGUUCGGAUUGUCCUCUGCAACUCGAGGGCAUGAAGUUGGAAUCGCUAGUAAUCGCGGAACAGCAUGCCGCGGUGAAUACGUUCCCGGGCCUUGUACACACCGCCCGUCACACCAUGGGAGUUGGUUCUACCCAGACGACU